CCCUUCUUAUCCUUUCUUUCCCUUUCUUUCUCUAUGUAUUUUUAAAAUCCCUUAAAUCACUCUCCUUAUCUCUCUUUCUCUCUUCCACUUUUUCCCUCCUCUCUCACGUUCCUCCCCUUCUCUCUUCUUAUAUAUUAAAUAUCCUGAAACCCUUCAUCUCUAUACCCCUUUCUCUCUCUCUAAAAUGCUCAUGAAAAAUUUUGAUUCUGAUCAAUAGCGAUGUUUGACGGCUCUCUAUGCAUUCUCGAGAUUUUUUUUUGUCUAGCUUAUCAUCUGUUGUGUUACAAAUUCCAAAUUUUUACAUGAACUACUUAACAUUUUACAAUUAUGAAUAGGUUUAAUGAUUUUAUUCAGCGGGGUAUUUUGAAGGAUUGGUGUUCUCAUCUAGGCCCCUCUUCUUUUCCUCCUUGAGAUUGGAUCACUGCAUACCUUAUUAUUAAUUUAUUUUUUGUGCAAACUCAUACCCUAUUAGAUUUCUAGCUAGAUGGGUAGUCUGUAAUAAAAAAAAAUUUCUUAUUAAGGUUGUUGCUUGUGUUUUCUUUAUGAGACUGAAUCAGUGAAUACUCCAUUGGGGGUUUUCCCCAUCCUGUAACCGGGCCUGAUUAAAGAUUUCAUUCACAUUUUUGUUCUAAUUGACAUGCAAUUGUUUCACUUGGGGUCCUGCUUUUCAUCUAUGAGCGAAGUUUUAGAUGCCUUUUUCGAUUUCUCUGAAAAGGAGAUUUUCGAUGAAGGUGAUAACACAAAGCUUAAGAUCCUGACAUGCAGGCAGCAGUGAAGGAGUCUGCAUCACCAAUUCUUCUCUUGACCCUCCUAUAGCUGAAACGAAAGUGAAUAUUUGUGGGGUUCACUGUGUCCAAGGAUGACCAAGUGAUGGUGCAUGCAUGGGCUAUUGAGCGAGAUAUUACCAUAUGCCUAAUGGAAGUUGUGUUUAUGAUGCCUGAAGGAAGUCAUUAUGGUUUUGAGAAGAUUUGUGAUAUCUGUGAAGGUUUUUGUUGCCAAUACUGUUCUCUUUAUUUUUCUAAUAAAAUUUAUAUUUGCGUUUUGAAA